AUUGAACGCUGGCGGAAUGCUUUACACAUGCAAGUCGAACGGCAGCACGGGGGCAACCCUGGUGGCGAGUGGCGAACGGGUGAGUAAUACAUCGGAACGUGCCCAGUCGUGGGGGAUAACGUAGCGAAAGUUACGCUAAUACCGCAUACGAUCUACGGAUGAAAGCGGGGGACCGUAAGGCCUCGCGCGAUUGGAGCGGCCGAUGUCAGAUUAGGUAGUUGGUGAGGUAAAGGCUCACCAAGCCGACGAUCUGUAGCUGGUCUGAGAGGACGACCAGCCAAACUGGGACUGAGACACGGCCCAGACCCCUACGGGAGGCAGCAGUGGGGAAUUUUGGACAAUGGGCGCAAGCCUGAUCCAGCCAUUCCGCGUGCAGGACGAAGGCCUUCGGGUUGUAAACUGCUUUUGUACGGAACGAAAAGGCUCUGGUUAAUACCUGGGGCUCAUGACGGUACCGUAAGAAUAAGCACCGGCUAACUACGUGCCAGCCGCCGCGGUAA
rnacentral:rRNA from 1 species